rnacentral:rRNA from 1 species
ACGGGAGGCAGCAGUGGGGGAUAUUGCACAAUGGGCGCAAGCCUGAUGCAGCAACGCCGCGUGCGGGAAGACGGCCUUCGGGUUGUAAACCGCUGUCCUUGGUGAAGAAACAAAUGACGGUAACCAUGGAGGAAGCCACGGCUAACUACGUGCCAGCAGCCGCGGUAAUACGUAGGUUGCAAGCGUUGUCCGGAUUUACUGGGUGUAAAGGGCGUGUAGGCGGAGCUGCAAGUCAGAUGUGAAAUCCCGGGGCUCAACCCCGGAACUGCAUUUGAAACUGUAGCCCUUGAGUAUCGGAGAGGCAAGCGGAAUUCCUAGUGUAGCGGUGAAAUGCGUAGAUAUUAGGAGGAACACCAGUGGCGAAGGCGGCUUGCUGGACGACAACUGACGCUGAGGCGCGAAAGCGUGGGGAGCAAACAGGAUUAGAUACCCUGGUA